rnacentral:lncRNA from 1 species
CCCUAGCUAGCCCCUGGGACGCCUCCUCCACACCAACACAUCCAUCCCCAGGGGACCGAGCGAGGAUCUCAGAGCGCGACCUGGGCAGGAAAGACCUGGAACCAACUCAAAUGCCCAUCGAUGGUAGACUGGACAGAGAAAAUGUGGGACAUAUACACCAUGGAAUACUAUGCAGCCAUAAAAAAUGAUGAGUUCAUGUCCUUUAUAUAGACAUGGAUGUACCUGGAAACCAUCAUUCUCAGCAAACUGACAUGAGAACAGAAAAUCAAACCCUGCAUGUUCUUACUCAUAGGUAGGUGUCGAACAAUGAGAACACAUGGAUACAGGGAGGGGAGCAUCACACACUGGGGUCUGUU